UACGUAGGCAGCGAGCGUUGUUCGGAGUUACUGGGCGUAAAGGGGGUGUAGGCGGUUGGUUAAGUUUGGUGUGAAAUCUCCCGGCUCAACUGGGGGGGGGCGGCGAAUACUGAAUGACUAGAGUGCGGGAGAGGUGAGUGGAAUUCCUGGUGUAGCGGUGAAAUGCGCAGAUAUCAGGAAGAACACCAAUGGCGAAAGCAGCUCUCUGGGACGGUACUGACGCUGAGACGCGAAAGCGUGGGGAGCGAACAGG
rnacentral:rRNA from 1 species